rnacentral:rRNA from 1 species
UACAGAGGGUGCGAGCGUUAAUCGGAGUUACUGGGCGUAAAGGGCGCGUAGGCGGUUCGGUAAGUCCGCUGUGAAAGUCGGGGGCUCAACCCUCGAAUGCCGGUGGAUACUGUCGGACUAGAGUACGGAAGAGGCGAGUGGAAUUCCUGGUGUAGCGGUGAAAUGCGCAGAUAUCAGGAGGAACACCAAUUGCGAAGGCAGCUCGCUGGGACGUUACUGACGCUGAGACGCGAAAGCGUGGGGAGCAAACAGG